GUUGAUCCUGCCAGUAGUCAUAUGCUUGUCUCAAAGAUUAAGCCAUGCAUGUCUAAGUCCAAGCUGUGUUCACACGGCGAGACCGCGGACGGCUCAUUAAAUCAGUCGUGGUCCAAAUGGGCCAGUGCAAAUCCUACUUGGAUAACUGUGGUAAUUCCAGAGCUAAUACAUGCAACUUAUAUCCCGAAGGCGAUGGUUGUGCUUGCUUGUCUUGCGCUCUCACUGCUCUGACGGAUGCUUUUAUUAGACCAAACCGCUGAGGACUUGGGGGUUCGCUCUCUUGUCUGACUCGUUAUAUGGUGACUCUGGAUAACCAAAUUAUGACAAGCGCACGUACUUCUCUUCUGAGCGAGACGGCGCUGCCACUUUCGAGUGUCUGCCUUAUCAGCUAUCAACCGUUCGUUAUGCGCGACCGAUGGCUUUGACGGGUAACGGGGAAUCAGGGUUCGAUUCCGGAGAGGCAGCCUGAGAGACGGCUACCACGUCCAAGGACGGCAGCAGGCACGCAAAUUACCCAAUCCCAGCAAAUGGGGGAGGUAGUGACGAAAUCUAACGAUGCGGGCGCCCUUUCUGGGGCCCCGCAAUCGGAAUGGGCACUUUCUAAACAACCUGUUGAGAACCUACUGAAGGGCAAGUCUGGUGCCAGCAGCCGCGGUAAUUCCAGCUUCAGCAGCAUCUAUUAAAGUUGCUGCGGUUAAAAGGCUCGCAGUUGAAUGUCUGUAUCGAGCGCAGGUCAGGUGGACGUU
rnacentral:rRNA from 1 species